UGGGGAAUUUUGGACAAUGGGCGCAAGCCUGAUCCAGCCAUGCCGCGUGAGUGAAGAAGGCCUUCGGGUUGUAAAGCUCUUUCAGCCGGAAAGAAAACGACACGGGUUAAUAACCUGUGUGGAUGACGGUACCGGAAGAAGAAGCACCGGCUAACUACGUGCCAGCAGCCGCGGUAAUACGUAGGGUGCGAGCGUUAAUCGGAAUUACUGGGCGUAAAGCGUGCGCAGGCGGUUUUGUAAGACAGAUGUGAAAUCCCCGGGCUUAACCUGGGAACUGCAUUUGUGACUGCAAGGCUAGAGUACGGCAGAGGGGGGUAGAAUUCCACGUGUAGCAGUGAAAUGCGUAGAUAUGUGGAGGAAUACCGAUGGCGAAGGCAGCCCCCUGGGUCGAUACUGACGCUCAUGCACGAAAGCGUGGGGAGCAAACAGGAUUAGAUACCCUGGUAGUCCACGCCCUAAACGAUGUCAACUAGGUGUUGGGGGGAGAGACUUCCUUAGUACCGCAG
rnacentral:rRNA from 1 species